rnacentral:rRNA from 1 species
GACGAACGCUGGCGGCGUGCCUAAUACAUGCAAGUCGAGCGCAGGAAGCCGUCUGAACCCUUCGGGGGGACGACGGUGGAAUGAGCGGCGGACGGGUGAGUAACACGUAAAGAACCUGCCCACGGGUCUGGGAUAACCACGAGAAAUCGGGGCUAAUACCGGACGGGUCAUCGGACCGCAUGGUCCGAGGAUGAAAGGCGCUCCGGCGUCGCCCGUGGAUGGCUUUGCGGUGCAUUAGCUAGUUGGUGGGGUAACGGCCCACCAAGGCGACGAUGCAUAGCCGACCUGAGAGGGUGAUCGGCCACACUGGGACUGAGACACGGCCCAGACUCCUACGGGAGGCAGCAGUAGGGAAUCUUCCACAAUGGACGAAGGUCUGAUGGAGCAACGCCGCGUGAACGAUGAAGGCCCUCGGGUCGUAAAGUUCUGUUGUAAGGGAAGAACAAGUGCCGCAGGCAAUGGCGGCACCUUGACGGUACCUUGCGAGAAAGCCACGGCUAACUACGUGCCAGCCGCCGCCGUAA